rnacentral:lncRNA from 1 species
UCCUUGUAUAUCCAUGCUUGUGUCGUUAUAUUAAUAUUAUUUAGCAUAUAAUAACCCACCAAAAGGUGCAAUAUAAAUCCAAUCCAUUAUAAUUAAUGUGCUUGUUGAAGGCAAGACCACUAGAUUUCUUACAUACUUUUUCUAAUUAUUUUAACAUUUUCUAAACGUUCUAAACUAAAGCAAUUUAAAUGAGUAUAAAUUAGCAUAUAAUAACCCACCAAAAAUAAUAUUAACUCUUGAACCGUUCAAGCUAGAGAGACCGAACCAACUUUCAUACGUUCAGGCUAUUCUUUCCUAUCCUAUCCAUCAAUCAAUCUUUCCAUCGACUUUCUUUUUCCAAUUAUAACCAGUCACUACCAUUACUACUGCAGUGACUACCAAUCCUGUAACUUAUUUUACAACCAUGAUUACUUUAAGACAAGCUAGCAAGUACACACAUUUUCUUUAGGAAAUGUAAUUUUCCAUGUAUUAUUAUUUUCUCUUAGAUUCGGCACAGUGGGAGUUUUUGUUAAACUGAUAUUCAACGUCAAAACACCAGUCCCCACUGAGGAUCAUGUCCUUGAUGCCGUCAAGAAGCAAUUGUCUCCUCAAUUCACGACCACUCAAACCACCUUCCAGAAUGCAACUUAUAUCAAACUUACAGAUACUUCAUUUGCCAUCGACCUUGGUUUCAAAAUAACCAAUGUAACCCAGGAGUCUCUAAGUAAUAGACUCACACUCACCAAUGAGACUGAAACCCAGAUACAGGAUUCAAUUAACAGACUAGUAAGAUACUGUACUUCUACACAUAAGAUACAUCCAUGGUCAUGUUCAGGUCAUGAUAGUAAUUGACAACUUGAUGUUUUGUCCCCUUUUAGCUCCAAAAGGUUCUCAGUGAACCAGAUGGCAAACAGUUUCAAUUUCCGAAAGCCAACCUCAUGUAAGUACAACGUCAUAACCUUGAACCAACCCGUCUUUCUCAACUGCACUCUUUAGAAUUUCUGCAGAUUUCAUUUAGUUGCUGCUGGUACAGCUAAACAGGAUGAAAGGAACAUGUUUAACUCUCACACAAAACCCAUUUUUACGUCCACAGUGAUGAUGGCACUGAGAUCACGGCAAACGUGACGUAUGUAUACAAAGAGGAAGAUGUCAACCUCCCUAGUGGUUUUCUACAGGAAGUCUUAAAAGUCUCAGGUAUGCUGCUUUUGUUACCAUACGGUUGUCAUUUCUAUGUUUAUUUAUGACAGUGAGUUAUUAAACACCAUGUAACGUGUAUAAUACUCAAUCUCGAAAACACUUAUAUAUCAAUGUUAUAUGACAUAUUACAAGUUUAUAAUCCCUCUAAAAUGUAUUUCCAUUUCUAUUCUAGGUCUCCUGACCACCACUGUUGCCCCAACAACAACCACCAACACCACACCACUUCCUACCCUUUUGACUUCAGUGACAUCAACAACUAGGUAAGCAAGAUCAUUUAUUAUAAUGUUUUCAUACAAUUCAAUUAACACUUUGUCAAACAAGGAACCUUUGCAACAAUGAACCAUGUAUAUCCAUGCUUGUGUCGUUAACUACUGAUGUUUUAAUUAAAAGCAUCCAAAAUGUCAACCUUUCUUUAGAAAAGCUCUUUGAGUGCAUCAAUUGGUCAAAAGGCUUAAUAUAAAUCCAAUCCAUU